rnacentral:rRNA from 1 species
GUAGUCAUAUGCUUGUCUCAAAGAUUAAGCCAUGCAUGUCUAAGUAUAAACUAAUUUGUACGGUGAAACUGCGAAUGGCUCAUUAUAUCAGUUAUAAUUUAUUUGAUAGUCUCUUUACUACUUGGAUAACCGUGGUAAUUCUAGAGAUAAUACAUGCGUAAAGCCCGACUGGCGACGGAAGGGCUGUAUUUAUUAGAUAACAAACCAACGGCCGCAAGGCCUGCUGGUGAUUCAUGAUAACUGUGCGGAUCGUAUGGCCUUGCGCCGACGACGUUUCAUUCAAAUAUCUGCCCUAUCAGGUUUCGAUGGUAGGAUAGGGGCCUACCAUGCCAGCAACGGGUAACGGGGAAUGA